rnacentral:rRNA from 1 species
GACGAACGCUGGCGGCGUGCCUAAUACAUGCAAGUAGAACGCUGAAGAGAGGAGCUUGCUCUUCUUGGAUGAGUUGCGAACGGGUGAGUAACGCGUAGGUAACCUGCCUUGUAGCGGGGGAUAACUAUUGGAAACGAUAGCUAAUACCGCAUAACAAUGGAUGACCCAUGUCCUUUAUUUGAAAGGGGCAAAUGCUCCACUACAAGAUGGACCUGCGUUGUAUUAGCUAGUAGGUGAGGUAACGGCUCACCUAGGCGACGAUACAUAGCCGACCUGAGAGGGUGAUCGGCCACACUGGGACUGAGACACGGCCCAGACUCCUACGGGAGGCAGCAGUAGGGAAUCUUCGGCAAUGGGGGCAACCCUGACCGAGCAACGCCGCGUGAGUGAAGAAGGUUGUCGGAUCGUAAAGCUCUGUUGUAAGUCAAGAACGAGUGUGAGAGUGGAAAGUUCACACUGUGACGGUAGCUUACCAGAAAGGGACGGCUAACUACGUG